UACGAAGGACCCGAGCGUUUAUCCGGAUUUAUUGGGUUUAAAGGGUGCGUAGGCGGAUUAGUAAGUCAGUGGUGAAAGCCCAUCGCUUAACGGUGGAACUGCCAUUGAUACUGCUAGUCUUGAGUAUGGUUGAGGUGGGCGGAAUGUGUCAUGUGAGCGGUGAAAUGCUUAGAUAUGACACAGAACACCAAUUGCGAAGGCAGCUCGCUAAACCAUAACUGACGCUGGAUGCACG
rnacentral:rRNA from 1 species